UACGGGGGGGGGCAAGCGUUGUUCGGAAUUACUGGGCGUAAAGGGCGCGUAGGCGGUUUGUUAAGUUGAAUGUGAAAACUCUGGGCUUAACCCAGAGCCUGCAUUCAAUACUGGCAGGCUAGAGUUCUGGAGGGGAUAGCGGAAUUCCUGGUGUAGCGGUGAAAUGCGUAGAUAUCAGGAGGAACACCGGUGGCGAAGGCGGCUAUCUGGACAGAGUCUGACGCUGAGGCGCGAAAGCUAGGGGAGCAAACAGG
rnacentral:rRNA from 1 species